ACUCAAAGGAAUUGACGGGGGCCCACACAAGCGGUGGAGUAUGUGGUUUAAUAAGAAGCAACGCGAAGAACCUUACCAGGGCUUGACAGUCCGGAACCUUUGUGAAAGCAGAGGGGGCCUUUGGGAGCCGGAACACAGGUGGUGCAUGGCUGUUGUCAGCUAGGGUUGUGAGAUGUUGGGGUAAGUCCCGCAACGAGCGCAACCCUCGUCCUUAGUUGCCAGCAUUUUGGAUGGGCACUUUAGGGAGAAUGCCGGUGACAAACCGGAGGAAGGUGGGGAUGACGUCAAGUCAGCAUGCCCCUUACGUCCUGGGCGACACACGUACUACAAUGCUUUGGACAAAGAGCAGUCAACCCAAAGAGGGCGAGCUAAUCUCAUAAAC
rnacentral:rRNA from 1 species